rnacentral:rRNA from 1 species
GACGAACGCUGGCGGCGUGCUUAACACAUGCAAGUCGAACGGAAAGGCCCUGCUUUUGUUGGGUGCUCGAGUGGCGAACGGGUGAGUAACACGUGAGUAACCUGCCCUUGACUUUGGGAUAACUUCAGGAAACUGGUGCUAAUACCGGAUAGGAGCUCCUGCUGCAUGGUGGGGGUUGGAAAGUUUCGGCGGUUGGGGAUGGACUCGCGGCUUAUCAGCUUGUUGGUGGGGUAGUGGCUUACCAAGGCUUUGACGGGUAGCCGACCUGAGAGGGUGACCGGCCACAUUGGGACUGAGACACGGCCCAGACGCCUACGGGGGGCAGCAGUGGGGAAUAGUGCACAAUGGGCGGAAGCCUGAUAGAGCGACGCCGCGUGCGGAAUGACGGCUGUCGGGUUGUAAACCGCUUUCGCCUGUGACGAAGCGUGAGUGACGGUAAUGGGUAAAGAAGCACCGGCUAACUACGUG